rnacentral:lncRNA from 1 species
UAGGAGAAAAGUAGGGUUUAAAGGCCCUCUCCUCCCAUUCGAUGGGGUCUCCUAUGGUGGUAGGGGUGCCGCUGCAAUUAUAUCCCAUGCAGAUGAAGCAGCGAAAGAAAUUAAUUAUAAAGGUUCAAUUGUGAAAUUUAUCAUGAAUGUGUUAGAUUAGAUCUAAAGGAAUAUUCAUGAUUUAUUUUGAUUGAGUUAUUUUCUGUUAUGUAAUUAGCAAUAGGAUUGCUAUUUAUGAAAUGUGCUGAUCUAUUUGUGAAAUGAGUCAACAUAUUUGGUGAACAGAAAAUAAAACCUUUCAAAUUUAAAAAUUAUUUUUGAAAUGCCAAAUCCUAACCCAUC